rnacentral:rRNA from 1 species
UACGGAGGGUGCGAGCGUUGUCCGGAAUCACUGGGCGUAAAGGGCGCGGUAGGUGGCCUGUGGAAGUCUGCGGUGAAAGCCCGGCGCUCAACGCCGGGUCGGCCGUGGAUACUCUCGGGCUUGAGCUUACUAGAGGCAGAUGGAAUUCCGGGUGUAGCGGUGGAAUGCGUAGAGAUCCGGAAGAACACCGGUGGCGAAGGCGGUCUGCUGGGGUAAUGCUGACACUGAUGC